rnacentral:rRNA from 1 species
AGGACGACGCUGGCGGCGCGCCUAACACAUGCAAGUCGAACGAGCAAAGAGGAGCUUGCUUCUCUGAGCGAGUGGCGAACGGGUGAGUAACGCGUGAGGAACCUGCCUCAAAGAGGGGGACAACAGUUGGAAACGACUGCUAAUACCGCAUAAGCCCACGGGUCGGCAUCGACCAGAGGGAAAAGGAGCAAUCCGCUUUGAGAUGGCCUCGCGUCCGAUUAGCUAGUUGGUGAGGUAAUGGCCCACCAAGGCGACGAUCGGUAGCCGGACUGAGAGGUUGAACGGCCACAUUGGGACUGAGACACGGCCCAGACUCCUACGGGAGGCAGCAGUGGGGAAUAUUGCACAAUGGGGGAAACCCUGAUGCAGCGACGCCGCGUGAGCGAAGAAGUAUUUCGGUAUGUAAAGCUCUAUCAGCAGGGAAGAAAAAAUGACGGUACCUGACUAAGAAGCCCCGGCUAACUACGUG